AGAAGGCGUCCUUGUUCAUGACGUGAGAAGAGAGAUGAUUUCGUCUUUGCUGGUUGGGAAACCUGAAGGGAUUCUUGAAGAUGUUAGAGGAUUUGCAGAGACUGUUAGUUUUAAUGGGUUGCUUGAGCUCGAGAUUCUGAAAAGGAAGGUAUCUGCGUUCUAUCGGUCUAAAAGAGGAUAUGGCUUGACCGAGUACACUGAGCCACAAUCUGUCCCAGGGCUUGAAGACAAGAACAAUGAUGAUGAUGAUGAUGAUGAUGAUGAAGACGAGGUCAUUGAUGAUGAGAUUAAAGGUUCGAGCAAAGAAGAAGAAGAAGAAGAAGCGUUGGAACCUGGAGAGUCUCUUCAGAGAUCGUUAGAGAAGUGUUCUGGGUUUCCUGAUCAUAGGCUGCAACACAGAAGGAAGCAAAAGAGCAUUGCUGAAAUAUUGGAGAAUGAGUCGGCUGCUAAGGUGAGAUUUGAGACUGAACCAGAGGAUGGAGAUGUAAAGUCGAGUGGGAAAAAGGUAAAACGCCGUGAUGAAGCUAAGAAUGAGCUUGCAACUGUAACCACCACCACACCGAGGAGGAGAAGAACGAGUGAAGUUUCUACAAUCGAAGACAGUGGUCACAAGCAAGUGGGAGAAAAUAGCAAAGGCAAAUCUGUUUCAAGGAAGAGGAAGAAAAGGGAUGUGGAUGAUGAUGAUGAUGAUGGGGGUGGAGACAGAGAAGAAACUGAGAAAAAGGAGAAUUCGGAUGAUGCAACAGAGAAUGAUUCAACUCCGUUAGCUUCACUGCGAAAAAGGGUCAGGGUUGAUGCUUCAAGUGCUGGAAAUGGCGAGACCUCCACACAAACGACAAAGAGAGAGAGGAAGAAGAGCAAGUAUCUUUCGCCAGAGUACUUAUCAGAUUUUUCAUCGAAAAGGAGGAAAAGGAGCAAAAUCGAAUCUGAAUCUUCCAAAGUUUCAAGUCAGAGCCAAGUAAGUCAGAGCCAAGUAGGAGAGACCAAUGCUAGUGAAAGCCUCGUGCCAGUGGAAGAGGAUAAUAAACCUUGCGAAUCAUUAUUAUUGGAGAAUGGUGUAGCUCAUCAAGAACUGUCAGAGGAACUUUGUAACGCCGUCGAUUUUCUGAGAUUGGGAGCUACGCCUGAGGAAAUUCGGGAUCUAAUUCGUGUAGCUGCUCUUGGUACACAAUAUCCGAAAGACAGUAGCUCAAGAGACAUGGUAAGAGAGUUCAUGUCCAUCUACAGAAGCUUCACAUAUCAUGAGGGUGCCAAUAGCAAGCUAUUAGGGAGUUAUAAUAGUCCAGAUACAGACAAGGAAGAGCUGAAUGGGACUGGCAAAGCUGAGAGUAAAGGAAAAGAGAUAAAAGAUAGGAAGCGUAAAGCGAAGCUGCAAACAGAGGAGAUUGAGCAAGUUGGAAAAGAAGAAGAGAAUGAGACAGACAAGCCUGAGACGACGAAGAAAGAGAGAAAACCGAAGACACCGAAAUCAAAGAAGCAAGCGGAUGAAGAAGAAGAAGUAGCCCGCCAAGAGUCGAGUGAGACAACAAAGAAAGAGAGAAAGCGUAAGAAGCCUGAAUCAGUGAAGCAAGCGGAUGAAAAAGAAGAAACCUUGAAAGAGUCAAAUGAACCAACGAAGAAAGAGAGAAAACGUAAGAAGCAAGCGGAUGAGGAAGAAGAAACCUUGAAAGAGUCAAAGAAGAAAGAGAGAAAAGCUAAGAAGCCUAAAUAUGAGGAAGAGGAAACGCCGAAUGAGACUGAGAAACCCGAGAAGAAGAAGAAGAAAAGAGAGGGAAAGUCGAAAGUGGAUAAGGAAAAGAAAGAAACUGAG
rnacentral:lncRNA from 1 species